GACAUUACACGUCGUUCGUUACUUUCAUUAGUUACUUCAAAUUUCAAAACAAAUUGAAAAGUUAAAAAACGGAGAUCGGAUAUUAAGUUAACUGUUUUUAAAUAGUUCAGCUGUAGUUUUCAUGUACCUACCUGGUGAAAUAGGUGCUCGACAGCCUCGACUCGAGUGCUCGUGAAAAUAGAAAUAAAAUGGCUAAUCCAAUAAUGCAAGUCUGAAAGCUGUGUCUUCUGAAUCUCAAUGAUCUCUGCUGCAAGUUUUUGUAUAUCUUCUAGAUAUGCCUUUUCCAGAUCUAACUCUUUGCUGCUAUCUGUUUUGCAGACAACAGUAUUCAGCUACUCAAGAUUUUGUGGUGAUGUUGGUUGAUCUGAUCACCACUUACAGUUCUAAUUUAGGACAAUGUAGGAUUGAUAGAUUUGAGGAGAAUCCCUCUCCGCUGUUAUAGUUGUUUGGAAAUCAACAAGAGAUUGUUGGAUUUGAAGAUUGAUAAUUUGUGUAGAUGUAGCUAAAUGACUAGUGCAUGCCCUUCUUUUCUGUG